CCCCCCCUCCUCACCAAAAAACAAAAAAAACAAAGACGACGUCAACUUCCCAAUGCUUUUCAGCGUCAAGAAAGAGGAGUUUGAAGGGAAAGUUCAAGUCUUGGUGGCCAAAAGUUAAAUUUCAGUGACCUGGUUACCGCCUCUCUCUGCAAACACAAAGGAUCACUUUCCUCAGCGGAUCUACCCCAAUCAUCAUUAAUGGGACCCCAGUGGAGAGAGUGAGCAGCUUCAAAUACCUUCAAACGCCCUGCAAGGAGUAGCUGAGCACAUCUCCAGAACAUCUCUCCCCUCUCUGCAAGACAUCCACACCAGGAGAUGUAAAUCUAGGGCUGUUAAGAUUCUUAAAGACCCCACCCACCCUGGAAAUCCACUGUUUCA